UACAGAGGGUGCAAGCGUUAAUCGGAAUUAUUGGGCGUAAAGGGCGCGUAGGUGGUUAGGUAAGUUGAGCGUGAAAUACCUGGGCUUAACCCAGGAACUGCACUCAAUACUGCUUGACUAGAGUGCGGUAGAGGGUGGUGGAAUUCCCGGUGUAGCAGUGAAAUGCGUAGAUAUCGAGAGGAAUACCAACGGCGAAGGCAGGUCACUGGGCAGUUACUGACACUGAGGCACGAAGGCCAGGGGAGCAAACGGG
rnacentral:rRNA from 1 species